rnacentral:rRNA from 1 species
AUUGAACGCUGGCGGCAUGCCUUACACAUGCAAGUCGAACGGCAGCACGGGGGCAACCCUGGUGGCGAGUGGCGAACGGGUGAGUAAUACAUCGGAACGUACCCAGUAGUGGGGGAUAGCCCGGCGAAAGCCGGAUUAAUACCGCAUACGACCUACGGUGAAAGCGGGGAUCGCAAGACCUCGUGCUACCGGAGCGGCCGAUGUCAGAUUAGGUUGUUGGUGGGGUAAAAGCCUACCAAGCCGACGAUCUGUAGCUGGUCUGAGAGGACGACCAGCCACACUGGGACUGAGACACGGCCCAGACUCCUACGGGAGGCAGCAGUGGGGAAUUUUGGACAAUGGCGCAAGCCUGAUCCAGCCAUGCCGCGUGC